CAGCAGCCACGGUAAUACAGAGGGUGCGAGCGUUAAUCGGAUUUACUGGGCGUAAAGCGUGCGUAGGCGGCUUUUUAAGUCGGAUGUGAAAUCCCUGAGCUUAACUUAGGAAUUGCAUUCGAUACUGGGAAGCUAGAGUAUGGGAGAGGAUGGUAGAAUUCCAGGUGUAGCGGUGAAAUGCGUAGAGAUCUGGAGGAAUAUCGAUGGCGAAGGCAGCCAUCUGGCCUAAUACUGACGCUGAGGUACGAAAGCAUGGGGAGCAAACAGGAUUAGAUACCCGGGUAGUCCCUGUCUCUUAUAC
rnacentral:rRNA from 1 species